GUGUGCCCUUCCCCACAUCAACAGGAUCCAAGUGCAUAGCCGUCUCCGUGACAGUUCAUCUCUUACAAAGAAGGAAGGCCAGUGACUGCUACCCAUGGGGAUGAUGGAACCAUUGAGGAAAAGAGGAUUCCAACAUAGGUUUGCCCUGAAUUCAAAAAUGAACACACUCUCCACAUGGAAGAACUGAGGACCAUAUGAAUGUUAGGGUGGAGACUAGCAUACAUCAGAGGAGUUUGAAGAUCACAAGAAAGGCUCUGUACUCAGAUACUAAGAAAAAAGAAAUAUUAGGAAUUAAAACUAUGGCUCCAUGCAUACUAGCUAAAAACUAUCCAGACUGGCCUUGAGCUCAAUUUGUAGCCCCAA
rnacentral:lncRNA from 1 species